GACGAACGCUGGCGGCGUGCCUAAUACAUGCAAGUCGAGCGCAGGAAACUGACGGAACUCUUCGGAGGGAAGGCAGUGGAAUGAGCGGCGGACGGGUGAGUAACACGUAAGGAACCUGCCUCAAGGAUUGGGAUAACUCCGAGAAAUCGGAGCUAAUACCGGAUAGUUCAACGGACCGCAUGGUCCGCUGAUGAAAGGCGCUCCGGCGUCACCUUGAGAUGGCCUUGCGGUGCAUUAGCUAGUUGGUGGGGUAACGGCCCACCAAGGCGACGAUGCAUAGCCGGCCUGAGAGGGUGAUCGGCCACACUGGGACUGAGACACGGCCCAGACUCCUACGGGAGGCAGCAGUAGGGAAUCUUCCACAAUGGACGAAAGUCUGAUGGAGCAACGCCGCGUGAGUGAUGAAGGUUUUCGGAUCGUAAAACUCUGUUGUAAGGGAAGAACACGUACGAGAGGAAAUGCUCGUACCUUGACGGUACCUUACGAGAAAGCCACGGCUAACUACGUGCCAGCAGCCGCCGUAAGAC
rnacentral:rRNA from 1 species